GCAAAACGCGAAGAACCUUACCAAGGCUUGACAUCCCUCUGACCGAUUUAGAGAUAGAUCUCUCCCUUCGGGGACAGAGGUGACAGGUGGUGCAUGGUUGUCGUCAGCUCGUGUCGUGAGAUGUUGGGCUAAGUCCCGCAACGAGCGCAACCCUUAUCUUUAGUUGCCAGCAUUUAGUUGGGCACUCUAGAGAGACUGCCGGUGACAAACCGGAGGAAGGUGGGGAUGACGUCAAAUCAUCAUGCCCCUUAUGUCUUGGGCUACACACGUGCUACAAUGGUUGGUACAAAGGGCUGCAAGCCAGCGAUGGUUAGCCAAUCCCAUAAAGCCAAUCUCAGUUCGGAUUGUAGGCUGCAACUCGCCUACAUGAAGUCGGAAUCGCUAGUAAUCGCAGAUCAGCAUGCUGCGGUGAAUACGUUCCCGGGUCUUGUACACACCG
rnacentral:rRNA from 1 species